UACGAAGGUCCCAAGCGUUAUCCGGAUUUAUUGGGUUUAAAGGGUGCGUAGGCGGGCUAUUAAGUCAGUGGUGAAAGCCCCAAGCUUAACUUGGGAACUGCCAUUGAUACUGAUGGUCUUGAGUACAUUUGAGGUGGGCGGAAUGUGUCAUGUAGCGGUGAAAUGCUUAGAUAUGACACAGAACACCGAUUGCGAAGGCAGCUCACUAAACUGUAACUGACGCUGAGGCACGAAAGCGUGGGGAGCAAACAGG
rnacentral:rRNA from 1 species